UACGUAGGGAGCAAGCGUUGUCCGGAAUCAUUGGGCGUAAAGCGCGCGUAGGUGGCCUCAUAAGUCCGCUGUGAAAGUCAAAGGCUCAACCUUUGAAAGCCGGUGGAUACUGUGAGGCUAGAGUACGGAAGAGGCGAGUGGAAUUCCUGGUGUAGCGGUGGAAUGCGCAGAUAUCAGGAGGAACACCAAUAGCGAAGGCAGCUCGCUGGGACGUUACUGACACUGAGGCGCGAAAGCGUGGGGAGCGAGCAGG
rnacentral:rRNA from 1 species